rnacentral:rRNA from 1 species
CCCGGGCCUUGUACACACCGCCCGUCACACCAUGGGAGUUGGUUUUACCCGAAGACGGUGCGCCAACCGCAAGGAGGCAGCCGGCCACGGUAGGGUCAGCGACUGGGGUG